rnacentral:tRNA from 1 species
GCUCGGAUAACUCAGUGGUAGAGUACGGGAUUGCAGUCAUGUGGGUAACCACUAGCAAGAUUAUCCUGAAGUCGUCGGUUCGAUCCCGGCUCCGAGCU